AAUAAAUCAAUCUUUUACUUUUUACCUAUAAUAUUUAACUCCUCGUUUUAUUUGAAAAAUAUUACUAUUAAUAUUUUUAUUUUUAUUAGAUGAUAAAUCGUGAAUAGUAUUUUAUGUGUGACUAAUUUUCUUAUAAUUUCUUGUAAAUUUUUCAAAUAAAACGAAUGGUCAAACGCUGGAGACGAAAACGAAAG
rnacentral:pre_miRNA from 1 species